AGAAGCCUUUAUAUGUUAUGGAUGAUAUUUGUGAGGUAGCACUGUGGAUGGGGAGGCAUGUUGUGAGAUUGCUGUGCUUUAACAUGAUACAAGUUAUGACAAUGUAGUUAAGCUUGCUAAUGUUUGUUAGCGGAUACCCCUGCCCUGAAAUUUGUUUAGAUAACAGAAAGAGCUGUGUCUCUGAACCAAGGAGAUAAAGAAGUUCUGCUGAGUCUCAGUACCAAGGAAACAGGAGGUGCUGUUUGGAAUGGGUCACUGAAUAUGUAACGUAGUCCUGCAAAAACUUCUGCUUAGACAACACAAGUUACGUAUACAAAUAGAUGAUCUUUUGUGUAAGGUAUGUGUGAUGGGAGGAUUAUCCCUGUGCAUCCAGUGCUGCCCACGAGAAUACCUGCUUUAUGGAAAUAAAACUUUUGCUGUUAAGUCUCUCUGCGUCCGUUUCUUUGAUUGAGUGCAUCUCAUCCACUGCAGGAGCCGUCAUCUGAAAUCCAGGGAGAAAACUCUUUAACUCCAAUGUGGUGUUAGGAAAUGGCUUUCCUUUAUUCCUCCCAAUAGCUAUCAGGUGACUUGACAAGCACAAGCUCCACGUUUACACAGUUAAAACAUGCAUACACGGUACACUGCUCUUUCAAGGACUCAUUAAUGUAUGCCAAUGUGCCUUUGGGCGUGCUAAGUGGAUUCUAGGAUUGGUGAGUGCCCACUUACUUUCCCAUUCUUCACCAUCUGCUUUAGCACUCAGACAUUUCACUCACUUUUAUCCACCUUUCCCCAGUUCGGGAAAUUUCUGUUUUUUCUUCGGUCGUAGUGAGCCGCUUCUUAAAGCAAUAUAUGUGGAACCCUAAGAAAACGUCUUUAGGCCUUCUGAGGUAAAUGGUUAACUCAUUCUGAUCCCGCAGCUUCCUGGGAAGCUAAAAGGAGAAGUACAUCAGACUGCUGCGUGCUGUGGGUGGCUCCCGGAGGUACCGCCCAUACUGAAGGUGAACAAUACCGCGCGUAGUGAAAGCAGGAGCCUUUUCAAAGGAAGCUGCAAGAGGAGAUCUCAGUUUCACUGAAUGGCAGUGCAGCCUUCUGUUGUAUCAGCCACUCCUCCUGGCUUUGUAUCCUCCUGGCUCCCGAAGGCACCGCCCAUAUUGAAGGCAAACAACACCGCAAAUAGUGAAAGCAGGAGCCCUUUCAAAGGAAGCUGCAAGUGGAGGUGGAGACACUAUUCCUAGAGAACCCCAUGAAGGGCACAUUGCUGCAGGAGGAGCUCAGACUUAAUGAAGGCCUGAAGACACCCGCAGUUCUUGGCCAUGUUCAUCACACACUAUGUGUUGCUGCUUUUGCUGGGUUCCUCCCUUGCAGUGGAAAUGACAGAACGAAAACUUGCAGCAGAAGGAUCCUCUGUCGUGCUGCAUGCACCGGCAAUCAGCAAUGUGAACAUCACUGAGUGGGAAUACAUAGAUGGCAGCACACCAAAAUUCAUCUUGCAGUACUUUGCCAACUCACGGGAUCUAAUUGUUUACAAUGCAUACCA